UCCAGACUCCUACGGGAGGCAGCAGUGAGGAAUAUUGGUCAAUGGCCGGGAGGCUGAACCAGCCAAGUCGCGUGAGGGAAGACGGCCCUACGGGUUGUAAACCUCUUUUGUCAGGGAGCAAGGUGCAGGUCGGGACCUGCUGUGAGAGUACCUGAAGAAAAAGCAUCGGCUAACUCCGUGCCAGCAGCCGCGGUAAUACGGAGGAUGCGAGCGUUAUCCGGAUUUAUUGGGUUUAAAGGGUGCGCAGGCGGAAGAUCAAGUCAGCGGUAAAAUUGAGAGGCUCAACCUCUUCGAGCCGUUGAAACUGGUUUUCUUGAGUGAGUGAGAAGUAUGCGGAAUGCGUGGUGUAGCGGUGAAAUGCAUAGAUAUCACGCAGAACCCCGAUUGCGAAGGCAGCCUUCCGGCGCCCUACUGACGCUGAGGCACGAAAGUGCGGGGAUCGAACAGGAUUAGAUACCCCCGUAGCC
rnacentral:rRNA from 1 species